UGAGGAAUAUUGGUCAAUGGACGCAAGUCUGAACCAGCCAUGCCGCGUGAAGGAUGAAGGCCUUCUGGGUUGUAAACUUCUUUUAUCUGGGAAGAAAACUACGGUUUCUACUGUAGCCGACGGUACCAGAGGAAUAAGCACCGGCUAACUCCGUGCCAGCAGCCGCGGUAAUACGGAGGGUGCAAGCGUUAUCCGGAUAUACUGGGUUUAAAGGGUGUGUAGGCGGGUCUUUAAGUCAGUGGUGAAAUCUCCGAGCUCAACUUGGAAACUGCCAUUGAUACUAUUGAUCUUGAAUUCUGUUGAGGUUGGCGGAAUAAGUCAUGUAGCGGUGAAAUGCAUAGAUAUGACUUAGAACACCGAUUGCGAAGGCAGCUAACUAAACAGAUAUUGACGCUGAGGCACGAAAGCGUGGGGAUCAAACAGG
rnacentral:rRNA from 1 species